rnacentral:rRNA from 1 species
UACGUAGGGACCAAGCGUUGUUCGGAUUUACUGGGCGUAAAGGGCGCGUAGGCGGCGCGGUAAGUCGGGUGUGAAAUCUCGGGGCUUAACUCCGAAACUGCAUUCGAUACUGCCGUGCUUGAGGACUGGAGAGGAGACUGGAAUUUACGGUGUAGCGGUGAAAUGCGUAGAUAUCGUAAGGAAGACCAGUGGCGAAGGCGGGUCUCUGGACAGUUCCUGACGCUGAGGCACGAAGGCCAGGGGAGCAAACGGG